rnacentral:tRNA from 1 species
CGGCGGGCGGGGUGCGGCCCACCGCGACGGGCGCCCAGCGCGCCCGCGACGACCCGGGCGAGCUCCUCGGUCGUGCGGAUCGGCCCCCGUCGAC